CGUCUACAUUAGAUACCCGUGUAGUCCCAGCCGUAAACUAUGCGCGUUAGGUGUAUCGGUGACCACGAGUCACCGAGGUGCCGAAGGGAAACCGUGAAACGUGCCGCCUGGGAAGUACGGUCGCAAGGCUGAAACUUAAAGGAAUUGGCGGGGAGCACCACAACGGGUGGAGCCUGCGGUUUAAUUGGACUCAACGCCGGGAAGCUCACCGGAUAAGACAGCGGAAUGAUUGCCGGGCUGAAGACUCUGCAUGACUAGCUG
rnacentral:rRNA from 1 species